GACGAACGCUGGCGGCGUGCUUAACACAUGCAAGUCGAACGGUGAAGCGCCUUCCUUUUUGGUGGGUGUGGAUGAGUGGCGAACGGGUGAGUAACACGUGAGUAACCUGCCCCCUUCUUCUGGAUAACCGCAUGAAAGUGUGGCUAAUACGGGAUAUUCUGGGUCUGUCGCAUGAUGGGUCUGGGAAAGAUAUUGUUUCGGUGGGGGAUGGGCUCGCGGCCUAUCAGCUUGUUGGUGGGGUGAUGGCCUACCAAGGCGGUGACGGGUAGCCGGCCUGAGAGGGUGGACGGUCACACUGGGACUGAGACACGGCCCAGACUCAGACGGGAGGCAGCAGUGGGGAAUAGUGCACAAUGGGCGCAAGCCUGAUGCAGCGACGCCGCGUGAGGGAUGGAGGCCUUCGGGUUGUGAACCUCUUUCGCCAGUGAAGCAGGCCUGCCUCGUUUGUGGGUGGGUUGACGGUAGCUGGAUAAGAAGCGCCGGCUAACUACGUG
rnacentral:rRNA from 1 species